CCUCUCCCCAACCCCUCUUUCUCUCUCCCCUCCAUCUUUUCAUUAGAACCUCUCUGUCUCCUUCCCACACCCAUCCGAGACACGUAAACACGCAUGCAGCGCCAGCCGCCUCUUCCCUCACUGCCACGCCGCCCAGCUGCUGCGCUUGGUGCGAGAGGAAAGCGGUGGAACCACGCUCCCCUGCUCCCCGCUUCUUCCCGUGAAAGUUGGAAGUAGCUCAGGUUUGAAGCUUGUCCAUAAGGCUGCAGCUCCCAGAGAGGAAAGAUGGAGCUCGGCGCCCCUCCCUCCUAACCCCUGAAGGCAGAGAAGCUGAUGUGUCCUCCUAAGGAUGCUUCUGAGAAGUCUCACUGUGGAAAUAGCCCGUGGCCGUGGAUUCUGGAGCUUUCUCCAAGGCCAUAGCGUUCAGAGGAUCACAAAUGCUUCUCCCUGUGGAAAUUCUUCAGCUAUAUGUGUCUACUUGAAAUUUCCUCGAUGUCAGCGUCUUCCCUUUUUUAGAAAUCCCCGUUAGAUGUGAUCCAUGCACACCGCUUUUUCCAUCACACUUCAUUUCCAUGUAGAUUUUUAAAAUUGUUUUUGAAGCGUUAGGUUAAAUAGGUCUCUCUCUUUUUAAAUCCAAACUUUAGUGCAUUUUUUCAUUGUCUUUGAGAAGAAUGGGAAGGUAGGUUCUUGGUGCAGUAAUUUCUCUACGGAAAAAAAUAGGGAGAGGUUAGCUUAUACCCAAGGGUCACCAAUUUGAGAGCUUAAGACUUUUUUUUUUUAAAGGUCCAGUUUAGUUUUCGGAACCGAAAUGGGAACAGUUACAUGAACUACAUUUACCUUUUUUAAACUUAAUGUCAUAUUGACACAUUUCUAAUGGAGACCAAAAUUAUCACCAUUGAUUUGUCAUAACUAUUUUCGACUAUCCAGUGAUUUGGGAUAUUCUGGAUUUAGUCAAUUUAAAGCCUCGUUUUGUUUUACGCGUGGUUCAGUUUGUCAUGAUUUACUUUGGAAAAUUAUGGGAAUUUUUUUAUUUACAGAAAGCUUAUUUGUAAAUUGAAUCUUAGUAACACCUUAGAAUCUGGAAUGAAGCAUAUGCUUCCUCUUUCCAUGUGCAUAACCAGCUCCGUUUGUUUUGCACAAUUGAAAUUGUUAGAGCCUUAAAUCAAGUACAAAUCAAGUUAAACUGUUAUUUUCUAUUUGGAUGACAAAGCCAAGGAAGUCCUUGGUGUGAGAAAUCAUGUUGACAAAGGUGAAGUUACCUUUUGUCCACCAGCAUGAAGAAUAUCUUUUCUAGAAAUACCUUUUAAGUGAAUGUAAUAUAUCUUGGAGUUCAAGAGGAUACUUGUAAAGGUCAUGGUUGUCAAUUCUUUUGGUUUAUUUGGUUAAGUAGUAUGGUGUAGUCUGUAUGAGGAAAGUUAGAUGCUCAGCCUAAAUUGUCAAUUGGUAGAGUAGGUUGGAAGUACAUUCAGAUGGACUUUGGUUAUGAGGUAGGAGAUUGAACUUUUCAUUUUUAGUUUGAUAAAAUUUUGGUCUUUUUUUUUAGGUUUUUAAGCAACCGAGAAUAUGGCUUACAUCGUAAACCAUUACGUACCACCCUUUAACUCUUGAUAGAGUUGAAAAAUUAGUUUGGUUUAAAAUGAGGGAACGCACUAGGAGAUGUUGAAAGGCACUGUCUGUUGUCUUUUUAAAAAAAAUUAGAUUGUGAGGCCACCGUAAAAUAAGACUUCAUUUGAACACACUAAAAGUAGAUAUAAUUGAGGAAUUAAGAAAUAUGAAACCUAGUUGUUUUCUCCCCUGAGUCUUGAUUUUCUCUUUGGGGAAAAUUUGUAUUUUCCAUUUUCACUUAGAGGCAAAAGGUGGUUACCUUUCUCUUGUGAGGGAGGUUAUGGAUAAGGAGAAUAUAACACACUGGACUUUUUUCAUGUUUAGCGAAAAUGAGUAAUUUUUAACUUGUCUAAAUAUAGACAAGUUAGUCAAAUAGUGCAAUACCAAUUUAAAUAGAGGCUUUAAAAAUUAAAUAAACAACUAUUUUACCACUAUGGACUUUAUCCUGUCCAAGCUAAGAGGUUAGUGCUUGGUGAUAGAAUUUAGUAGAAAAAUUCACCUUUACAUUAUUUAAAAAAAAAAAAAAAAAAAGCUUUAUCAGAAACAGUGCAGCAGGUGCUGCUAGUUUCACACUUCAUUCCAAAAUCAUGGAAGGCUUGAAAGGUAUCACCUUAUAUAUAGGAUCUGGGUUGGUAUUAAUUGUAGACAUCUGAGUCAUUUAUCAUGAAUAGUAAAUACCUCUGCUGUUUUAGUAUCAAAGGUUCUUUUGCAUUCAUAUUUUAAUAUGGCAGGCUUUUCCUUGUGACUAUACAUUUCCAGUGAAAUUUAAAAUUAGGACUUGAAUAUUUUUAGUACCUUAAAGGUUAAUACUAGUAUAAAUCGUUGACUCAGAGUUCUUUUCUUGGUCUGACAAUGACGUAACAUCCAAGAUAUUGCCAUUCUAAUUAAGUAAUAUUGACAAAUACUUUAUAGUACUUAGUAAGUUGUAGGUAUUCUAAGCAGUUUAUAUGUAUUAACUUAAUCUCUACUAUGUGGUAGGUACUGUUCCCAUUUUAUAGAUGAGGAAAAUGAAGUAAUGAGAGGUUAAUUAACUUCCAAGGUCACACAGCUAGUAAAUAGUAAAGUUGGAAUUUGAUCCUAGGUGUAGAAUACUUCUUGUCACUACUCAAACUGUAGAAGACUUUUUUUUAUAGCAUAAGAGUUUUAUGUAGCUUUUGAUCUGACCCAUUUAAAAAGAUGUUUUGUUUUUUAAUCUCUUAACUUCAGAAAUAUUUGGGAUGUCUUCAUCCCUGGGGAAUUUCGAGAUUAUGUUCAUUAUAACUCAUUGAAUUAGUAGUGACAGAUUAAGUGACCUACUGACUGGAAGAAUAAGAUUUUACUCUGCUCUAUAUUGUGUUAUUGGCUGGGCUACUUUCUGUAAUAGUGUAAAAAGGCACUUUCUUCCAUUUAACCAAAUUGUAGAAUUGUAUUUUGUUAGUAGACAUUUCACUAUUGCCUUCUUUUACUCUGAAAUCUAAUACUAUAAGUCAUCAAAAGUAAGUUAAAAUUAGUAAUUGUAUUUGAUAUAAUUUUUCCUUCCAAAGUUCUUGGGAAAUCACUUUAAAAGUUUUCUGAUUAAUGUUUGCUGUAGGGCACAAGAUUAACUGCCCUUCAUGUACUUGUGUCUCGUGUGUCAUGAAUUAACUACCGUCUUUCAUGCACCUGCAUCCAUGCUGCUUUGGUCCAUGGCUAAUUCUUUUCCCCAACUCUCAUCUUUUCCAACAAAAUUUGCAGUUGUCCUUUUGGAGACGGGCAAAGUCUCCUUAAGGAAAUUUACAUUGUGCUUCAGUAGUUGUAGAUGAAUGAUUGGGUUCCAAGUACCAUAGAUUCCUUACACAAAAAUGAACCUGAGAAGGAAAGUGUGGGCAGAAUCCAGUUAUCCACAUAAAAUGCUUGAUAGGUACAUGUAAAUUCUGGGGGAUGGAGGUAAAAUUUUCUUUAACCAAUCUUCCAAUUCAAAAAAGUCAAGUCCUAUUUGUAGUUGUUUUUGUAGAUCUCUGCCACCAUAUUCAUUCCUAAUUCUGCAGUAUGUUCAACCUUGAUUUAAAGGUGAAACACUAUUCCUAAAGUAUUAUGUCUAGCAAUUUUACUAGACUGGAGAAAAGUGCAUUUUAAAAGCAAUUAUUAUGAGGAACAAAUAGAUAUUUAUUGUAUUUUAAUCAUUAAUACUAGUAGUCUUCAAAUAGAAUGCAGACCACAUGUACUCUCUAGCCUUUUAUUAUUUCCUUCCAUAAAUUGCUUUAAAUUGCAAUGUAUAGUUCAUAUCAAUUUGUACAUUUUGAUAACAGUAGUUCAUCUUUUAAAAGUUUAGCUUGUUUUUGUAUAUAUACUUACACAUGUACAAACUUAACACAAAGAUCAGCAUUGACACUAAAUAAAUUGGUGUCAGUAAUUGAGGAAAAAUGGUCCUUUGACUAAGGAACAAAGCUAUUUGAGGACCUAAAUUUUAUGUCUUAUUACAACUGCUUAAAUAUAACAUUAAAUUCUUGAGUAUGUUUUGUAUACUACCAGUAAUAAAAAAUAUUUGAUGAUAGCAUGUAUGGACUGGGAGACAGGAGAUCUGAAUUCUAGUUCUGAUUCUGAGAUAACAGUUCCUCUUCGGAAUUAUAAAUCUCCAAGUACCUUUCUAAAUACGUUCUUCGGUCCUAUAAAAUAUCCAUUAUCCGUUUUGUUGAUAGGAAAACCUUGUGAAUUAUAAGAAAUUAACUCAGUCUCCUUUCUGACAUAGAUUUGAUGGAAAUGCUGUAAAUAAGUAAAAUUGUAUAUUAAUGUAUGAGUGACCUAUUUUUACUGCCAUUAACUUCUAUACCAAAAAAAGGGUUUUAUGGCUUUGGACUUGUUAAAUGCAUUAAAAUGAGAAAUAUUUUUAAGAAAAGAUUUGAGAGAAGGUAGAAAUAACAUAAUCCUAGACAUUAAAUUCUUUUUUUUUUUCUACAGAAGGUAGAAAUAGCAUAAUCCUAAACAUUAAAUUCUCUCUCUUUUUUUUUUUUUUUAGCUUAUUUCCUGUGUGUAAGUGCUGUGUAUGAUUUCCUGGUCUAAAAUGAGGAAAAAAAUACAUGUUUCUAGUUUUUGGAAUGAUUAGUUUUAGCGCGCACACACGUGCGCGUGCACACACACUCCCCCCUUUUAUUUAAUUUCAGGAGCUCUAGGCAGCCUAAAUUUGAAUUCCAGCUGUCCUAAUAACUGUAACCUUGAGGAAGUUAACUUUAGCUGUCUCAUUUGUGAAAUGGGCAUAAUGAACAUCAUAGGUGGUUUUGAUGAUUAGAUGGGAUAAUACAUGUAAAGCUCUUAGUAUAUAGUAUCUGAAAAGUUGUAAUAACCCACUAAUUAUUGGACUCAAUAAUUGUCAACGUCCAGAGAACAAUAUAUUAGAUACUGACUUAGUUAAAUAAAUGAUUAAUACAUAAAAUAUUCUUUUCCUCAUUGGAUAGUCACAGUUAUUAUUGCUUCAAAUAAAGGCCCAUAAUUAAGAUGAUGAUAUGUAUAUAUUUUCUGUAAAAGAGGUGACCAUAUAUGUUGAUCGAGGUAUAUCCAUUGUUGAAAAGAUCUUUAAAGGCAAAAUAGAUCACCAGAACAUUAAGAAUAUAAACUUAUUAAAUUUCUAAACUAC